GCCCCUGUAGCUCAGAGGAUAGAGCGUCGGUUUCCUAAACCGUGAGCCUGGGUUCGAGUCCCAGCAGGGGCG
rnacentral:tRNA from 2 species